GAACCUUCGACUAAGGUUCGGGUCGAGCAUCGCGAGACAACGCGCAUCAGCGCGGCCCGCAGGGUGAAAUCAUCCUCUUGAACC
rnacentral:sRNA from 1 species